rnacentral:rRNA from 1 species
CAGCCGCCGCGGUAAUACGAAGGGUGCAAGCGUUAAUCGGAAUUACUGGGCGUAGAGCGUGCGUAGGCGGUGAGUUAAGUCUGCUGUGAAAUCCCCGGGCUCAACCUGGGAAUGGCAGUGGAUACUGGCUCGCUAGAGUGUGUCAGAGGAUGGUGGAAUUCCCGGUGUAGCGGUGAAAUGCGUAGAGAUCGGGAGGAACAUCAGUGGCGAAGGCGGCCAUCUGGGACAACACUGACGCUGAGGCACGAAAGCGUGGGGAGCAAACAGGAUUAGAUACCCCGGUAGUCCCUGUCUCUUAUAC